GAUGAACGCUAGCGGCAGGCCUAACACAUGCAAGUCGAACGGUAACAGGUGUAGCAAUACAUGCUGACGAGUGGCGCACGGGUGCGUAACACGUAUGCAACUUACCUCUAACUGGGGAAUAGCUUCGAGAAAUCGAAAUUAAUGUCCCAUAAUAAUUUGAUCAGGCAUCUGGUUAAAUUUAACACUCCGUUGGUUAGAGAUAGGCACGCGUCCUAUUAGCUUGUUGGUGAGGUAACGGCUCACCAAGGCUACGAUAGGUAGGGGGCCUGAGAGGGUGAUCCCCCACACUGGUACUGAGACACGGACCAGACUCCUACGGGAGGCAGCAGUGAGGAAUAUUGGUCAAUGGUCGCAAGACUGAACCAGCCAUGCCGCGUGCAGGAUGAAGGCCCUAUGGGUUGUAAACUGCUUUUAUCUGGGAAUAAACCCCUUUACGUGUAAAGGGCUGAAGGUACCAGAUGAAUAAGGACCGGCUAACUUCGUGCCAGCCGCCGCCGUAAAAC
rnacentral:rRNA from 1 species